CCGCUCCUAGGGGGGCAGCAGUGGGGAAUAUUGCACAAUGGGCGAAAGCCUGAUGCAGCAACGCCGCGUGAAGGAAGACGGUUUUCGGAUUGUAAACUUCUAUCAAUAGGGAAGAAAGAAAUGACGGUACCUAAAUAAGAAGCCCCGGCUAACUACGUGCCAGCAGCCGCGGUAAUACGUAGGGGGCAAGCGUUAUCCGGAAUUACUGGGUGUAAAGGGAGAGUAGGCGGCAAGGUAAGCGAUAUGUGAAAGCCUUAAGCUUAACUUAAGGAUGGCAUAACGAACUAUCUAGCUAGAGUGCAGGA
rnacentral:rRNA from 1 species